UGCAAGCGUCGGAUCGGUUUGUAAACAGAGUUUUAUUUCGCGCGAGGUGCCACCAUGGGGUCCCAACAAUUUUGUCUCAAGUGGAAAAGCCACUACAGCAACCUUCUGAGCGCCCUCGACCAGCUACUGUUCAGCGAAUCACUCACAGAUGUCACGCUUGCCUGUGAAGGCUUUAGUCUCAAGGCUCACAAGGCCAUGCUGUCAGCCUGCAGCCCCUUUUUUCAGACCUUAUUUGCAGAGAACAGCCACCAGCACCCAAUCGUCAUUCUCAAAGAUUUCAAAUUCUCUGAACUGAGAGCCAUUGUUGAUUUCAUGUACCACGGGGAAGUGAAUGUCUCACGCGAACAGCUUUCUUCACUGCUGAGAGCUGCGGAGGCACUUCAAGUGAAAGGCCUGACCGACCUGACCAGCGACACUCCUGAAUUGGCUGAACAGUUGCCCAGUUUGACUUCCUCUGAUGUGCGAGCAAGCAAUGUGGACUCUGCAACCGUUGCAUCGCCAUCGAAGAGACCACUGAAAUCACCACCAAGCAGCAAGAGAAAAAGAGUGAGACCUCGACAUGUCACCCCUCGAGAGCAAGAAAGUCAGGUCUCAAGCAAUGAUGAGGCAGAGGAGGAGAACUCAAGUGAUGGGGAGUUUUUGCCUAAGCGUACCUCUGAGGCUGUUGCUCUGCAGAGAACUACCAGGUCUAGCAAGAGCACAAGCUCCUGCUCAGUGUUGGAAACUCUGUUGUCCACCAAAGAACUGAGUGGAAACUGUGAGCAAAAGCAUAGGCUGCAUACAUGUCACGAAACUACGGAAGAAGACAAAGACUUCGAGACAUCACGGCUUCUAGAGCAAGCACUAGCAAAGGGUGAUGAGUCCAGUUCAAGCGCUGUUGACAGCAAUUGCCACCAGAAGAUGUUCCCAGCGUCUUCUCAGCUUAGCUUGCUGGCUACAGCAAAAAUGCUGGAGUCUGGUUCCGGAAAGCCAGAAACAGAAGAAGAUGCGUCUGCGCUGCUGGCAACUCUGGCAGCAUCAGGCGAGAGCUCAAACUCUGGCAACAGUUCCGGGCAAGGUACUCCCCAUUCCUUAUUUCCUGCGAGAGGUGGUCGCAACUCUGGCUGGACAGAGGAGCAGAUGCAGCGGGCAUUGAGUGCUGUCUUUGCGGAAGGUGUGCCUAUGACAGCUGCGGCAAGGCGCUUUGGCAUCCCCAAGACAACACUGCUUUACCGGCUUCAGAACUCUCUGACCAGGCGCUCACCGAAAACUUGAGGAAUCCCUAAAACAGCCAUUUUUGUGAAGACCCCCUUCUGUAUGUUGUGCCUCUUUGCAUUCAUCUCGCCAUGAAGCCAUGUUGAAUUCCAGUGAGGUAGUACAGCACAGUACAUACAUUGAUUCUUGUGGCCACCUCAGUCAUCAAAGUAGCUGCAAAGAGCAUUGUUUCAUUAUAAAACAACAUUACUAAAAUAAGUUGCCUUGUUCUUAGAUACACCUCACUACAUAGAGGCAGGGCUAAUGUCAACAGCAUGGCUGUAUGCUGGAUACACUUCUCUAGUAAUAGAUUUUUGCAGUAAUAGUACAGAACUUUGUAUGUAUAAGCCCCUGUAUAUCAUUGCUGGAAAUUUAAUAUGGUUGUCCACAGCAAACAGUUCAAAUGUCAGUGCAGAAAUUAAUGCUCAAGUACUUGGAAUUUGUGUUCGUACGUUGGAUUGCAUUCUGUGGCUUAUUUGGUGUAUCUCAGAACGAAGUGCUUAUACCCCUCACUAGGUUGGAAUGGAAUCCAGACAUUUUCUUUCUCAUUGUUACAGUCGAACAAUGUUUAGUAGUAGCCAGGAUAGCAGCAAAUGGAAAGUAGCGAGUCCAUGUUUUUGGAAGCCAAGUUAUCCUCCCUUAAGGCAGAGACCAUUUCCCAUUGUGUGGAUCAGCACCCAGAAGUGACAUUCCUCUUUUCCUUCUUUCACAUCUGUAGAGGGCCUGUCUGGUGUUUAGGUUGCAAGCCCUGCCUUUCUUUUUUCUUGCACCACAGCCUAAUAACAGAGGUGGUUUCAUGCUCUGCAUUUCACGAGUGGUUUGUAUGGUUGCUGGCUGUCCAUGUGAUGCAUAUGCUACACGUUUAUGUGCAGGUGUACCGUGCCAGUGACAUUAUCUCUGCUGCUUGUCAAAAUGGCUACAUUAAAGGGGUCAUGAACCACUUUUCUGACUAACGAUCAAUUGACCUUAGCAUCGGAGUUUAUUGCCUCGCGAAUCAAUCGCCGCAAAAAUUUCUCAAAUUCGACAAGUACGAGCGGAGUUGCAGGGAUUUGUUGCACGCUGUAAGUGCUUUCUCUCUUCUAUUGCCCCAACGAGCACACUGGAAGCCACACUCGGAAAAAUGACAAGGGGGAACGAAGCUACGACAUGCGCGUGCCGUGACCUUGAGCACGCAUCAUGAAACUCGUUCACUGUCUCCCCGCUUUACUCCUGUGGGCGCAAGAGUCACUACUAUGUCAUUUUAGCACACUAUAGGGUGCAUCACCCUGUACUUGGCGGCACCAUGUGGCAAGAAGCGCAUCUAAUCCAAACACCGCUCUUGCUUUAUGCUAACUAUCGGCCAGUAGCAGCAAUCUUUUUGUGGGACUCAAAAUCUGCUAUAUGACGGUCCUCCGAAGAGCGCGAGUAUAAGCCUUUGUAUGAAAAGAGGGCGCUUUAGAAAGUGGCAACUUCGUGCUCCGCUUGUGAACUUUUCUUGCUGUGCAUAACUGUAAGAUUUGGCUGAGCUGUUCGCAGCAGCACCUGCUUUCUGCUGUAUGUGUUUUUUCACCAGGCACGAGGGGUGGUUCAUGACCCCUUUAAAAAAUCUGUUUUUGCAAAAGCCUUUCAACCAUGUAAUAUUUUGCAGACAAAGUUGUCGCCACACUAGCUGCGCAUCAAACCUCUUUGGCUGUGAUUUCCAAGCCUGGUUAGGAGUCCUGUAGGUUUGUUUUCCCUGUGCACCACCUUUGCAGUGGUACUUCUCUUGUUAUCGUGACGGUGACAUCUAUGAAAGACCUGCUUCAACGGCAGUCUUGUCAGAGCUAUAUAUUUAGGCCUAACGUUGCAAUAAGAGAGGAAACAUUGCUUUCAUCAGUGGCAUGAACAUAAUAAUUGCCUUUCACAAAUUUGAGCUUAUAGUGAGUUUCGUGACGCCUGGAAACUUUCCCUCAACUACUUGAAGUUUUUAAUGAGCGCUGCCCUUUGGUAGCCAUACUAGUCCCAUUUUUAUUUUCUGUGCUUGUUAUAGGACCUGCAUUUUCAUGUUAAAAAAUCGAAAAGAUUUGUCACUUGGUGCUGCUUUGUGUUUGCUCAAAUAUUGCAACAAGAUUGCAUAUUUUAUGUGAAAGCUUUCAGUUAUAUUACAAUAGAUGUCCUUGUCCAACUGGAUCAUUCACUAUCAGAGAAGCUAGGUGCUGUAGUGUUGUGCGCUGCUCUGGCUGCUCGUAGGGAACUAAAUGUUCCUGUGGACCAGGGAAACAACAAGGUCAGUGUUUAAUUGAACGUUAAGGACCAAGAAUAUGUUCUAGCCAGUGGCAAGUUUUAUCUGAAAGGGGCGCUAUGACAUUUUUUGAACAUAGUCAGAAAGUAUGGCCUAUCUCUAGUCAAGGUUCCUGUGAAUAUAAAAACCAAAUAAUAUUGCACUGAGGUCAGCAGGGAACUAAUUUUCGUUUUAAAAGCAGCCCAAAAUUUCUUGCUUUCCCUUUUGCUUUGUUGUCAAAUUUUUGUAGCUGGAGAUUUGGGAAGCAACAGAGUUAACUAGUAAACUCAUUCUGUAAUAACCUAGAAAGGUGUUGAGGGCCCCUUUGUAGUUAUUAGCAAGGAAACAGGUCGUUAUGGCACCACAUGGGUGUGUGAAUAAGAGGGACAUCGGCAUUGUAUGUGCCAUUGGUGUAGCCAGGGGGUUGGGGGGGGGGGGGGUUGGACGGAUAAACCCCCCUCUCCCGAUAUUUUUCAGUUUUGUAUUUGUAUAUGUACGCUCACACACACAAACGCACAUACAAACAUACAUUAAGGGGUAAUUGAACAUCCGCCUCGAGAAAAAUUUCUGGCUACGCCCCUGGUAUGCACUGAUUGAAGGCAUUUGCUGUGUGCUAUUGCUAAACUGCACUUGGGAGGGGAACAUUUAUUGAAUACCGAAGGGCAUUGUGAGUGACGUUGCAGGUGCAUGUGCUGUUCUGCCACUUCAAUUAUUAAAUUUCACAGCUCUUACAUAUGAAAUCUUUGAAUAACCUGUCGUUACAAGAAAUGAUCAAUGAUGGAUGAAGGUUUCUGUUAAAUUUUCGAUUAGCAAAAAUUUUUAUCUCAGUUGCUCAUGUAUUGAAGGAUUAAGCAAUUUCAGAGCUGUUUUGCAAUUUAAUUAGGAUGUGGUAUACAUAUUUAUGCUUUAACAUAAUGAUUAUGGUGAUGAAUGAGUGGAUAUUGGUACGCGUCUUAGAGGUAUGUUUACAUGUGCCAAAACUAAGACAUGCUCUGUGCAGUGCUGUAUAAAAUACAUAAUUGCAACUGGGCUCAAUAUUUGUGUCAUUUUACCAAAGUAAGUUUUAGUUUGUCAAAGAUUGGUGUGUGUAACCAAGUGUGAAUGUCCUGUGCGUGUGUGUGUGUUUUUAGAGGAUUUGUAUGUCCCAGUUAACAGCUUUACAUCCUCAACUUUGGUAGAGGUAAACUUUAGUGUGGACAGAGUGAGUGAUUUCUGAGAUCCCCUUGACAUGUUCUUGUGAGAAUUUAUACAUCAGAUAUCUACGCUGUGAGUAUUGAGUACAGCUCAUGUUUAUCCAGCAUGCAGACUAGCUUUGGAGGUUGGGUUUGCUGUGUGCACUUCAAAAUUUUUAACACAUAACGACAGUUAUGUUUUCUAGUGACAAUGUUCUUGAUAGCUGAAACACUUUCAGGCAAGUCACUCAGUGUAUUGGCUAUUUUAAUUUAAAAGGAGUCAAGAGAGCUGUGCAUGCAGUGUGUUUUCUGUAUCCAUUAUAUUCAUGUUUCAUAAUUGUGCAGUAAGUUUACUAGAUCAGAAGAAGAAACAUUAUGUUAUGCUGCUAAUGUGCUUCCAAAUAGCAGAGUCUGCUGGUCACUGGCUUUUAUUUUAUUGUUUACUUAAAGGGACGCAAAAGAGAAAAAUGAUUUUUUUUGUAUUAGUAGGUUACCCUUGCAUAAUAGCAAAGCACCACUGCUGCCGUGAGAAGAUGCUUGGUAAACGAGAAAAUGCAUAGAAAGAAGAUGCAGGUGGCGACGUCACCUUGAAGUUCUCGCACCAAUCGCCGUGAUGUCAUAGAUUUUGUUGGAGUCCACUGUGGCUUGCAUAGCUCUUAAUCACUAAAAAUAAAGUACAUUGUCUUCUAGAAGGGGCCAUAGACAUAACAUACCAAGUUCCAGGAACUUUUAUUAAGCCAAUGUACCCGAAUUGGAAAAAAAAAACGCUUUGAAAUUCAUGGCAUCAUGCUGACAUUCAUGUGCUUUUUAUUCAGUGCGAAAUUUAAAAAUCAUACUUUGACCUUCAUUCUCUCCUCUAAUAAUUAACCUAUGAUGAUGAAAUUAAUAACAGUGGAGUUUUCAAAGAAUAAUGUAUCAGUCUAAACUAAUUCAUCAUUUCACUUUAGUGUCCCUUUAAUUGUUUGACGUAUGAUUCUUUUUUGCGCCAUGCCUGAUGUUUUUGAAAUAUUGCCACUUGCCCAUCAGCAUCAGUGAGAAUGUAAUAACCACAUGUAAUUUUCAUGUAGCUUGCAUAUCGAGUGUAGUUUUAAGUAACUUUAGUGCAUGACAGCAGCAAACAUUACUUUGGCACUUUCAGCAGUUAUCUAGUCACCAAAGUAGUCGCCUUGCUGCCCUUAAGAUUUCAUCAUUUGUUCGUUGCUCUAGAAGCGCAUGUUAUUGCAAAACCAACUAAGCGAGUUUUUUCUUUCGUUUUUCUUACGAGAAGCUUAUUUUUUGCCAGAUUGAAUGCCAAAAUCGUCACACAACAUGCUUGAAGAUGUAUUUUGUAUGCCUGUAAAUUUUAUUUGGAGUUGACAUUUUGUGUACUUAAUUUAUACAAAUUAAUAAGCUGUGCUUAUCCAGCCAUUACAAAAAAUAUAUUUCCGUGAGAACCUAGUGAAAAUUAGGUGUUUAUUUACAACUGAUAUUGUGCAAGUCCGGUAUUAGCUGCGAAUUUAGUCCUAAUACUAGUGCCCGAUGUACAUUAACUAGUCAUGUUAUUAUUACAGGAAUCCAAAAGAUACUAAAGCCUUUUGUUAUUGUACAGAAAUUGAAGAGUUUUUUAAUGAUUUCAUUAUGCAUGUCAUCUUUCAUCACAGUGUUGUUUAACUGCAUGUGACCCCACAGAGCCCAUGCUUUGACACGCUGAGUUUGAUGCAUUUUUGUUUAUUUAUUUGUACUGCUGGCUAUGUUUGGCCCAAGAAGGAACUGAUUAAAAGUUAAAUAAUAACAGCAAAGUAUUUUAUGCUGUGGAAGAUACUUGUACAUGAUGGUAAGAUAUAAUGCAAGCAAUACAGCAAUAAAAUAUAACUGACAAUAAAGGUUUGUUAUCAUUUGCUUACAUGCAUUACAAAUAACAAGGGACAUAUAAUUUUUGCAAAAACAACAGACACUGAAUAGAAAAAAAAUUUCAAGCAAUUUGCUUAAAAGAAUAAAGUACUACUAUGUUAUCUGUACUGAAUAGUUCGUGAUAGUGUGUUUUAGUUGAAUAUUGUUUGUGUGAGAAACCAACGCUGAUUUAAGCAUGAAAAACUAAACCCAACACUUGCAGUAGCUUCUUCGACUCAUUGGAGCAAUGUUUAUGAUGUGGAUAGCUUAGUAAGCUGUUUUUAUAGACAGCGUAACGAAAACAGUUGGGCAGAGAUGUGGUCAGGGCACUGACUUAAUAGUGCUUCUGUGUGAUGUACGUAUACAGCAAGGCUAUCUGAAAAGUUUUGCACUCGGUUCACUUCUCUGCCCCCUCUGUUUUCAUUGCAUUGUCCAUCAAAAUUUCAGUCAUGUUCUACCAAGAUAAAUUGUGCCCUGUUUGCUAACUGAUUAAUAAUAGGCAAUUGCUCUACUAAUUACAUUUUACUCAAAUAACAUUUCAUUGUUUGGUGUAAAUUGGUACAAAUGUAUAGUCUCUGUAUGGACAGGAAUUAAGGUGGUCAAGUUUUUUUAUUUGUUCCUUCCUGUGAAAUGGUGCUUGGGCUUUGUGGGGUUAAUACACAUGUUGGCAUAGAGUACUGCAUGAUGUUUUGCUUUGCGCUAGCAACACACAUAAUAAUGUGUCAGCUGGUUGUAUUGUAGUAAUGUAAAACUGUCACCUCCUUAUUUUGUAACUUGAUGCUGUCUGUGCUCACCAAAAAUGUGCUUGGAAUACAUUUAGUGGUGGAGAUCCGUUGGCUGAAUAACUGUGUGUCUUUUGCAAUAUCAACAACAGUUUCAUACUUUGUGUCAGAAAUAAACUAGUACUUCAUUUGCAA